UUUCCUAACAUUCCCUCUUUUAAUGUCUUCUAAGAGAUUACACUCUAAAAUAUAAAGUUAAAACAUGAUUUGAAAAAGUAUAACCCUAAAUUCUGAAACACCAUUUUAUAGCUGAAAUAUUAAGCCUCCCUUUUUAGUAUGCAACCUUCUAAAUAACAGUACUUUUGUAAAUGUUGGCAUAUUCACUGUAAAAUAAAUCAGACACCACAUCAUUUAAGGAUAGAGAUUGAAAAUAAAUGUACAAAAUUGCCUGGCCCAGAGUCGUAUCUUAUCAGAAAAUAAUGAUUUGAAAUGCAUAAAUGUAUCAAUCCCUUAAUGUUGUUAUACUUCAAAUGAUUUUUUUCCUAAAGAUUAAAGUUCAAUCAAAUAUUCCCGAUGUAAGAAGUGGGAUGAUACAUAAAUAUUUUUCUUUGAAAUCCCUUGUAGUGAAUUCAGUUGAUGUAAUAAAAGACAAACCCAUUUUAACUUAAACCAAAAGCUGUAAAUUAUGAGAAAUGUUUAGACAUUAUUACCUUGGAUCAACAAUUACACAUAAAACUUCAUCUCAAAGAAAUUAUAUCUUAAACCUCCAGUUGCUGUAAAAAAAGUCAUUGAUUAGUAAUAGUUUUUUUUACAUAUCUUCAUUCUGUGUCUGUGUCCCUUGAUGCUCCUUUAAGUAAAAUAUGAGUUCGUUGGCAAGACGAAAGAUGAAACAACAAAGACGACCCUCUCGUCCCCAGCAGCCCAUUUUCCUUGUAGAUUUUAAACUAACCCUAACACUGCAGAGGAGGUCCUGGAGAUCUGCGCAGCGCUAUCCACCGCACCCCAAAAGCCAGCCAGGACUUUAUGUGCCACAUCCAGGACCAGAGGUGAACGGGACUUGUCAUUUUGGAGAGCAAGAAGACUGUCAGCAGAAGAGGACUUUCAUCAAGAGGUCCAUCACAUGUGACUACCAUGGAAUAUUCACUAUUUCUGCCGAGGCUGGUGGCUUGAGGGGUCCCUGAAGAUGGGACAAGAUGCAUAGAUUUACUUUUUCCAAGUCUGGGGACCAAGGACUUCUGCAUAAACUCUCAGGUUCACCUGUGUGACAGUCAUCCGCAACUCACCAUGUUUAGCUGACCAAUGAACCUUUCUGCCAAAAACUUAAACACCAAAUGUCUGUUAGUGAAGUUCCCAGGCCUGGCAGACCCAUUUCUCCUAAUAAAAACAACAAGAGACAUCAAGCUGGGAGAGGAGAUCUACGUGGACCAUGGGGUGAGGCAGCACUCGUUUAGGGUUGGAAGGCCAGGGGAUGAUCUUAGCUGGAUGGGUGAGGUUGGCUCACCUCCCAAGAGAAAUAGUUUAGUCUUAUUUUUACAAUGUUCUAUUCAAUAAUCAGUUAACAUUUUUAUUUUAAUUUCUUUGACUGUGGUGUUGUAGUAAAAAGUUCAGUGUUUGAGGUUUUAGUGUUGUAAUUGCUCUUUUUUGUGUACUCCAAAGUUCAGUAUGACUUUAAAUUGCGUUGUUGCAAUUAAAGUUUUUGUUUUCUCUUGUGCUGCUGAUAAU